UAAGACACUUUAAGGGUAUGAUAGUAAAUUGCACCUUGUUUCUAAUCUUCCCCAAUCGCUUCAAUUUCCCUUCACCAACCAUAUUUAAUGCCAUCGUUGCUUCAGUUGCACUUAGCCGUAAUCGAUUCUAUGUUAUAAAGGAGCUUUGUCUCUCAAGUUUCAACACAUCCGGUGACCUUUGAUUCGAAAUGCUUUGGGUCCGGCGAGAAGGAGAGUCGCAAUCGCGGCUAGGGUUUUGCAGGGUUGAGUUUCUGGCGACCUGAAACGGCCUCUCUCCAAUUUUUUGUUUCGCCUCUUGCCUUUGGUUCUGUUCUGAUCGGUAAAAAUUGAUUUAGGGUUUUAAUUUUAUUUGCGGAUUGAUCCCAGGUGACUGCAUUUGUAAAUUGAAGGUCUAGGCUGCGUGAAAUAGGGAGUCCAGGGGUCCGGACUCUCAAUCGAUUUUGUUGCUCCUUGGUUUACUGUACCAGAUUCAAAGAUGUUGAAGACUAUGGUUCAGAUUUUAAGCUUGUUGUAGUGAUUACAGCCAUUCGACAAAACCCACAAUUUUUUGUUGGGAUGAGAGGAAAAAAAACGCAGGCACUUGGUUUUGGUUACCAUUGUUCUUCCAUCCACCGAAGACAGCGCCGACUAACAUCUCUAUCUUUACUGCGGUGAAGGUACAGGACUACUUCACCUCCAAAGUACGUACUGACAUGACCUCAAAUUCUAUCUCAGAUGAAGGCUAUGUGCAGAUCUUUUCCAUUACACAUUUGAUCCGUUAUCAAUAACAUAAAAACAACUUGACCCGCAUUCACCAGAUUAUAAUUGCAACUUACGGUUUCUAACUUUGCCUAUUGUCAGAUAGGUGUCCAACCCUCCUCUAAGCAUAGCUCAAGUAAGCAUUGCUCACACAUCUCACAUGUGGCUAAAUCGGCCCGGUGGGUGAGUCGGGUAACGGGCUAAUAGGCACUACAACUGGUAGACAACAAAGCUCAUUAUAGAUUCAGGAUAUGUUGUAACUCUUCAUUCUGACCCGUGUAUGAAUUUCCAUCUAAGCAUAUAGUUCCAUUUCCAAUACUGAAGUUUAAGUGUUUUCCCUUGAUGACCUUCUGGUCAUACCCAUAUCUACUCUGAAUGUUGUUGAAUGUUCCCAUUUUUGUGAUAGGAGUGCGGCGUGUAGUGGCAGUUGAAACUGGCUCUCAACAGUGUGUUAAGGUUAAUCACAUUAAGGGACGUAUUUUCGCUCUUUUUAUAGAAUUCUGUUAAACUCGUUUUUGUGUUCCAAGUUUUUAGCAAAGUUAUGUCAUUAUAUGUUAAGUUUAUAUUUCAAGGACAAUGGAUUAUAAGUACAUUUAGUUAUGUUUGAGUCAGGUACUGUUCUUUUAUAAACUGUUGUUUGAUUUA